rnacentral:rRNA from 1 species
AUAAGAUUGUAGUAUCGCAUGAUAUAGCAAUUAAAGGAGCAAUUCGCUAUAAGAUGGACCCGCGUCGCAUUAGCUAGUUGGUGAGGUAAUGGCUCACCAAGGCGACGAUGCGUAGCCGACCUGAGAGGGUGAUCGGCCACAUUGGGACUGAGACACGGCCCAGACUCCUACGGGAGGCAGCAUA